rnacentral:lncRNA from 1 species
CUAUUUCUAGGGAGCGACUCUCUUGCACCAUGAGUCUGCCUGUCACUUUCAAGGGGCGCCAGCGGACCACAAGGCCCAGCAGUGACCAGAACUCAUUUCUGGCAAAUAAUUGAAAGGCUCUGAGUGUGCGGCGUCAGCUGUGCCGGGCAACCCGGACCUCAUUCGUGGCCGAGGCCGGCCUCUCCAGGGAGCUGCUUUACUAACCUGGAGCGCACGACUCCCCAGCUCUGGAGGCCUAGCGCUCGCUCCUCUUCCAGGGAUGGACAGCCCUGCUCAGAGUUUUGGGAAACUCCCAUCCUGACCCUGUUCUAUGAAGAGCAGCCUCAGAAGAGAGGCUGAACAGCAGUGGUUAUCAGGAAGGCCACAUUUAUGGAGGGAGGCAUUUAAAUAUGCCAAGUAUCCAACCUCAAAACAAGGAAGGUAGGAUUUCACAGGUAAAUUCUAACAGCUCUUAAGGGAAAUGAGAAAGCUCCCUGGUGCCAGAGACAAGGCCUGCGGGUGAGCGGUUUUUCGGGUUGGGCAAGACCCACGGUCCUCCUGCCCGAGGUGGGCAGGGGAGGGCAGGACACAGGUGCUUUGCUUCUGCAAGGUGCUGCUCCGUUGCAAGGCGGUCUUGGAAAAGCGAAGAUGAGCAGAAUUUGCCUCCAUAGAACCCAGUACAGGCAGCUCUCACAGCAGACAAGUGAAGCAGAGAGAAACGCAUCAACUGCAAAGCCGAACCACAGGCCCACAGCCGCCUCCUCCCCACAAAGGCAUCUCAAGGUCGUGACUGGGUCCUGGGACUCUGCCCUCAUGGGAGUGGGCUUCUGCAAGGAGCAUCUUCCACGGAGACCAUGGCGUGUGGCGAGCGCUGGCCGCGGCAGCUUGUCGUGGUGGCACCAUUGCUAAAUCCUUCCCAGCUUAUGGGACGAUUCUUGUUCAGGCUGGCUUUUGGUCUGGGCUUUGGGGUUUGGUCUGUGUCUCCUGAGGCCUGGGCCCGAAAGGCCAUCUGGAUUCCGGGUUGGGGGUCCUGAUGAGAGUGUUUAGCAGCCAGUGGAGUGCGGGAGAUGGAGGCCUGUCCCGGGCCUGUGGACAGAGGGCUCCUCCCGAUCCCUGUAAAGAGAGAUGAGGAGACGGGGAGAGCGCAAGGCCUCUCCUCACCUCCCGGCUCAGAGGCUGACCACCUAAGUCCCUGGCCCCCGGGACCCCAGCCACCGGAUGGACAGCUGGAGGAAGGGGUGCCUGAGAGCUGUGCAACGGACCCCCCUCUGCUCACGGUCACACGUGCUGGCCUGACCCUGGGGGCCGCUGGGGGCCGGGGCUGGCAGGGUGGUGGAGUCAGAGCCUCCCCCUUCCCUCCGGGGGCUGGAGAUGUGGAUGUCUGUGCGGUUCCAGGCGAGAAGGGGUGACAAGGCGGGGGGAGGAGGCCUGGGGUGGGCACCGUCCAGGUUCUGGGAGGGGCGGGCUGCCCUUCAAAAGGGGAGAGUGCGUGCGUGUGUGUGUGUGUGUGUGUGUGUGUGUGUGUGUGUGUGUGACAGAGAGAGAGAGAGGUAGAGAGAGACAGAGUGGGGGGAGAGGCAGGGGAGGUUGAGGGUGGGGGCUCAGCAGCUGGGGCCAUCAGGGAGAACUGGAAUGCUGAGGGCUGAGAGCCUGGGGGGGUCCCGGGGGCAGACGACCCCCCUCCCAGCUCUCCACCCUCAGUUGUCCGAGUCACUCUUGCUUGUGGUGACCUCUGCUUGACUUGGAGUCAAACCUUGGGCCCCGUCUUCCCCAGGCCACUGUGGACCUGUGCGUGCCGCCAGCAUUCACGGCCACAGGCCCUUCGGCCCCUCAGUCCGGGCUAAGUUCACGAGGCGCUACAGCCCCGUGACUGCCACCCGACAAAGCCUGCGAGCCAUACCCUGGCAUCUGCUCCCGCAUGGUUUCCAGAGACGGGCCUCGGCGCCCACACGCUGUCUUUCCUGCCGCCGCCAAUCCGCCAGGAAGGCCCCGCCUUUCCUGUUCUUGUCUGUCACACAGUUAGAUGCAAAGAUGGAAAGAGGCUGGGACAGAGGCACACGGUCUGAGUGGGGAGCUCCUUUCCCAGACACCAAAACGCUCCGGGUGAGAAGCCGCAGAUGGGGCAGAGGAGAUCCUGGGUCUCAUGCGGCCUUUUACACAGCAGUGAAACGCCAACUGGGACCCGCCACGUUGGGAUUAAUGACCCCCGAGUGGCCGAUCACACGUUGUUUGUGAGGGAAACAACCAAACUUGUAAAAGGUGGUUUCCCACGCUCUCACCUGGGCGGGGGCACAGCCACCAUGCAAAUGGCUUCCUUUCACGCCCGCUGCACCCCCCAGGGCCGGGCCCGGGACUCCCAAGGAGGCCGGGCUGGGGCCGCAGCGAGAAAUCCCUCCUGGAAGCAGAACCCUGCAGGGCGACACAGCAAAGACCGUGGGAAGGGCUGGCUGUGCUCACAGCAGCAGGUCCCGGACCCUGGCAUGGCAGUUCUGCCCCCGAUUCUGCCUCUGAGAAAGCGUGGACACAACCACAUUACCCUGCCAGAGGCCAGGGACAGUCUUAGUAACCUCUGCGGAUCAGCUAGCUUAGUACAAAUGCCCCCUUUCAACUUGCCAGUUAUUCCCACACUUAGAGCAUCUGGAAUUACAGAGCGGACACCCAAUGCGGUGUGCCCUCGGAGCAGUAAACAUGCUUUAGGUUAAGAAAAUCUUUCCCUUCUCACUACCGACUUUCCAAAUCUGCCUGUACCUUGACCUUGAACGUGGCCUAAAAUCAGCAGCCUGAAACAAAGCCCCACACUGACGGCGCGAGGGGGCACCUGGGGUCUAACGGCCUCUCACGUGGGACAGGGUGGAGUGCAGGGCUUCUGGCAAGGGAGGCACGGGUGGGAUUCUCGGAGCUGCCCGAGCACCAGGCACGUCAUUCUCUGCCUUCAGCCUGUGCUCCCGGGAGCGAAAGGCAUCGCCUCCAAAGUCGCCCUUGAUGCGCUCGGGUUUGACAGAAGGACACGAAAGAUGAGAGCUUGGGGUGCUGUAAGCAUCAGGCUGCACCGUUAGCAGAAGGUGUUCAAAGACCAGGCUCAUAAAUCACAGCACUGACACAGACGUUUUAUUACAGGGCUUAAUGGCUGCAUCAGGAUUCAGGAGAAAAACAGGGCACCCUUUGACAGCAUUUUCAGUUAGCGGGAGAGAGGAGCAUGCUGCCUGUCCAAAAGCCUCUCUGGCUCCCUGAACGUAAGUGCUAUUUUGACGGUGCUCGCUGGUUGCUGUCAUCAUUAUCCCUGUAAACUUUCUCGCUUCCUAGAAAUGGGCCCUCCCUCUCAGUCUGCUUCUCCUGCCAGGCUUAAUGAACGUCCUGACGCGUAGGAAAAGGGUUAACGGCAUAACCCAAUCACACAAUAUCUCGGGCUACAGACAGCCAGCGAGCAAAGGCCGGCAGCAUGGUAACGAGGCCAGCACCGUGGGAACGGCGGGGCGGACAAUGAUGGGAUUGACAGUGAGCGUGGAAAGGCCACCUUUGGGAGAAACCGUAUCCCACAGCGUGCGGGGAAAGUGAGAAAUAGUAGCAGAUGCUGCAGGGCUAUGAGCAACAGAUGCUUCUGGCCAGGCUCCGCCAGCCAACCAGCUCACACCACCCUGAGCGGGGAAGAGCCCUCCCCGCCCCCGCCUUUGUUGGAGGGAGGCAGCAAAUACAAAUAUUGCAGAGGAAUUAAAAACAGCAGAUGGUGGCAGCAGGAUUUGAUGAGAUCAGGGUCAGGUACGGGCAUACAUUUGGUGGCAGCAUUAAUCACCCGCCCCUCGGGGUUGGGAAGUUCGGCCCUCGCAGCAUUAAGCCACUUUGGGCCGCUUACUCCCUCGGCCCCUCCCCCGGCCUCUCCCCUCUUUCCUCAGGCUGACCCCUCGAUCGGCUUCUAGAUGUCCCAUCAGAUUUAGCAGAGUUUAAGGAGAACACAUGUUGAAUAUUUUGUUAAUUCAAUUUGUGUUUAAAUAAUUGAUGUCAGCCAAUUCCAAACGUGAGAUUUCGAAAGGCUCCUGGUUGGGUGGACACGUUAUCCACCGUCCUUUUGUGAGGGGCAGUCGUUUGCCCCUUUCUCUUCGGGCUGUUGCACAAGGCCUGUGGCUCCCAGAGGAGACUGUCCCUGCCACCUCGUGGGCGCUGAGCGGGGAGGCUUGUAGCCCUGGGUCCUGAGCAGAGGUCCCGACGGAGCGGAGGUGGCUCUUGGGAUGGGCGUCUGCCCUGGGGCCUCCUUGCUCUGCGGAAGGAAGCUUGCUGGCAUGCGGGGCGCGCGUGAGUGUGUGUGCUCGUGUGUAAGCAUGUGUGUGCUUGAGUGUGUGGGGACAUGUGGACACACUUGAUGUGCCUCAUGAAACCCAGGUCAAGAAGCUCUCAGAAGUGAGUUCAAAGCCCCAGAGGCUGGCCUCACAGUCCCGGUCCACACAGCCAGCAGGAUCUCCCACGAGUUUGCUCUCUCGGGUCUUCUUGCCAAGGUGGGAGGCGCUGGUCGGCCCCCAGGGGGAGAGCAGUGGAGGAACCUGUGGUCUCGUCUCAUCCUUCCUUCCCUUGAGGAAGGAAAUCAUGAUGUGACUUGUACACUUAAAAAGAAAAUGUAUUGCCUCAGUUUGAAAGUAAUAGCUGCUCAUUUAGAAACAGAGACAAGUAGAAAAAAAUCCACAGGGGUGCUAGUCACAACUCUGUGUAUAUUAUUCUGCUCCCCUUUCUGCACCUGAGGUUUAUUGCUCAUGGAUUAUGCAUCCCUUUUAGGCAACUAUAGUAUUUAUUAUUAUUACUGAAUAAAACUGUUAUGAAUGUCCUGGUAUAAACAUGUGGUAUAAACUUAUAAUCAUUUCUUUAAGCUAAAUUUUAGGAAGUAGGAGUUCCCGUCGUGGCGCAGAGGAAAUGAAUCUGACUAGGAACCAUGAGGUUGCGGGUUUGAUCCCUGGCAUCGCUCAGUGGGUUAAGGAUCUGGCGUUGCCAUGAGCUGUGGUGUAGGUCGCAGACGUGGCUCAGAUCUGGUGUUGCUGUGGCUCUGGCGUAGGCCAGCGGCUAUAGCUCUGAUUCGACCCCAGCUUGGGAAUCUCCCAUAUGCCAUGAGUGCAGCCCUAAAAAGACAAAAGAUAAAAAAAAAAAAAAAAA